UGGGUAGCUCAGUCGGCAGAGCCUGGGACUCUGAAUCUCUGGGUUGUGGGUUCGAGUCGCACAUGGCGUGGAAAA